AAAAAAAGGAUCAUCCUCGUACUAGCCUAAUAAGGAUGAGAACCCCAAGACUUCCGUGUGCAGGACUGCAAGCAAGAGUUGUCAUCGACUAAGAGCAUCCGCCACCCUGUUAGCAGAUCCGGCCGUGUGUUUGAUCACAAAGGUGAAUUGUUGGAGGUAUGCAAUCCACGAUGCAUGACGAGAAGAGACUUUACUCUGGCUGUGAAGAUGCUUUAC
rnacentral:lncRNA from 1 species